rnacentral:lncRNA from 1 species
GGGGGGCUUUGAAUUAUGCCAAUUACAUUUGCUCUUCCAAAAACAUUUGUUGGUUCCCUCCUAGCAUCGUCAGACCUCCCAGUGGAUGGCACAUUGGUUACGUCAUGAUUUGUUCCAGUAUCUUCCCAGAUUUUGAUUCCAAGAUGGACAGUCACUAACUCCUAGGCCAUCUCUUUUAAAAGGUGGUGAUACUGGAGUUUCCGAUGUGGCUCAGCAGUUAGUGAACCUGACAAGCAUCCAUGAGGACGCAGGUUCAAUCCCUGGCUCCAAUUGGACCCCUAGCCUCGGAACCUCCAUAUGCCACAGGUGUGGCCCUAAAAAAGACAAAAAGACAAAAAAAAAAAUGGUGGUCAUAUAGUUCCUUUCAAAGAGCCCCCAGGGCCAAAAGGGACCAGAGGUGGAGCUGGAUGGGCCCCAGGGCAUGGGCUUCCUCUCAGGGCAGUGAGUGGUGGACCUGCCCCUCCCCCAGCACAGACACUGAGGCUUUCAUACUGCACCCAGGAGGCCAGCGUUCAGACACCUGACUAUACCCUCAUGUUAUCUGGAAGAACAGCAACGCACAACUGGAUAUUACAAUUGCUUCCUCACAAAGUCACAGACAAGCCAGAUCACAAAGACAGGCCUUGGUGGACAAUAAUUAUGUAGCGACAAGCUUAAGAAGAUUCCACAGCACAGAAGAAAUUAGAAAUCUCAACAUUUUUCAAAUAUAUUAAAUGAAAGUAAAAGUAAAAGUAAAAAUUUUCCUAAACCAGAAUAUGUAUUUUUCACAUUUGAGUUCAUUAUUUUUGCUAAUGAAGGCUUCUGUGAAUAGUCUUGUUCACUCCCCAUGUGAGAUGGAUGGUAGAGGAAAGGAAAAUUAGCAGAGGAAGAGGAAUAACGGACCAUCACCUUGCAAAGGGUUGGUUUCUUUGGGGGACUCUAGGCCACCACGUUAGGGGUGGGCAGGCACAGAUUUUAGGCCCUAGCAUGCCUAACAGUGUCUUUAUUUACCCUCAUAUUUUAUGGUUUGAUUGGGUAUAAAAUGAUAGGUUGAACGUAAUUUUCCACUCACAAUUUUUGUCUUUUUGUUUUUGUAGAGGGAACUUUCAAAUGGCCUGAUAACAAUCCACCAGGGUCCUGGUCCAACCAACCCUGUGUCCCAGCCCACACUUUUAAGCAGUUCCUCUGGCAUUGACCAUAGACAACACACUUUUCAAUGAUAUAUGCGUAUUGGUAACUCUUGGCUCAUCUGCUUGUUCUUAUUAUUGUCUUGUUGGUUGGUUGGUUUUCAUGGAGGGUACUAGAGUUUCUGUUUUAGAAAAUUCUAAAGAUGCAUUUAAAAAAAGACAGAGUAGUAUAGUGGACCCACAAUUGUACCAUCACCCAGUUUGGACCAUGACCAGUACAUGGACCAUCUUGUGUUUCACUCAGGAUUUUGAAGGCCUUGUCUUCCCCCAUCCUUGCACUGAGAUGUCUGGUCCAUUCUAGGGUUUUUCUGUGUGAACCAAGUUUGCUUGUUGUUUCCGUUUCAUAGCCCUUAAGAGCUUUUAUUUGGUGAUGGUGUCCUCACAUUAAGUUACCUAAAUGUGGUCAUUUUGUCACAUUCCGCUGGCACCCAGUAGGUUUUUAACAUCUGGACUUUUUUUUUUUUUUUUUUUUUUUUUUUUUUUAGAGCCACACUCAGGUCAUAUGGAAGCUCCCAGGCUAGGAGUCGAAUUGGAGCUACAGCUGCCAGCCUACACCACAGCUAUAGCAACACCCAGAUCUGAACUGUGACCUACACUACAGCUCACGACAAUGCUGGAUCUUUAACCCACAGAGCAAGGCCAGGGAUCGAACCCACGCAUCCUCAUGGAUACUAGUCAUGUUCAUUACUGCUGAGCCACAACAGGAACUCCUUGGACAUCGUUUAGUGCUGAGAAAUUUUCCUUCACUUUAUCCUUCAAACUGUAUAUAGAAAUUGUCUUACUUUACUUACCAUUCUUACAAAUUCCAAGACCUUUUAUUUAUUCCUUGUCCAUACAUAUGUGUGUGGGUGUAUGUAUUCAUCUGAUUUUUUUUAAUGAAUGCAGCAUUUGCUUAUAUGUCUAAUAUUAAUAUUGACUUUUAAAAUUUUUAUUUCUGCUCCCUUUAUUUUUUCUAUUUUCUGUAGGUUAAUUUUUUUUUCUGUUUUAUUUUUUCUGAGCAAAUUUCUAGCAAUGCUUAACUAUCCUCUCAUAUUGAUGACUAAGGUGCUAAACCCAGCCAGGUUGGUUGCAUAUGUAGUGAGGCUGGUGGACUGGUAAGAGUUGCCCACACCUGGUUUCUGAAGGUCUGGAAGGAGCUGGGGAAGGGGUUCAUGUAGCAAAGGGGCAUUUCCAAUAGAUCCCGCCUGGAGACCACUCCCCAUGCUGCCCUUUGGCGGUGCCUGGGACCCCGUGACCAAAACAACCAUGCUUCACUUUCUCCACUAAAUAAACCUUCAGUCUCCUGCAAGAUGGAGAAGGAAGGAACAGCGGCCUCACCUCAACGCAGACGCGGGAGAGCAUCCUCCUCAGCUGGUUCCUGGAGGCUGGCUACCUCCUUUCCAUCAAUGUCCCCAUCUAUAGGCACUUCCUGUGCUCCGCAAAGUCCCCAUUUUCCAUCUGUCCCCUAACUUCCACACACCUGCUGCUGCCUUUCCUCCCAUUUUCUUUGCUACUGUGAAUAAAACCUUUACAAUUCUUAUGCAGGUGGUGGGGUAAAGAAAAGAUAAAUACAUGUGUCUAGUCCGCCAUGUGAAAUCACAUUACAUAGAACAUUUGUUUGCUUCCUAAAGUUCUUUUUCUUUCUUUUUCUGAUUUCACUUUUUUCUUCCUUUUCAAGAUUACAUCUCAUUAUAUUUGUGACUGAUUUCUCUCAACCAUCUACCUGCUUUAUCUUUCAAUCUCCCUCAAUUUCUUCCCUGUUAAGGAUCCACUUAGUUCCGGCCUCUGUCCUAUUUGAUUCCUCUAACCUUCUGAGAGAGGAAAUUCUUUCCAGUGUAGUCUCAAAAGCUAUUCAGUGGUCUGUGGUCAGCUGAAUUGCUUUUCCAGAAGGUAAUGGAAUUAAACGCCCCAUCGUAACUAGAUGUAACUGAAAGCUUUGGUGAGUUGACCAAAAAAGGUUUCCUCAACCUAGUCUCCAUGUGCUUUCCUAUAAAUAGAUUUCACCAAGACGGGGCCCUCAGUCUUAAUCUCUUUUGCCUUAGCACCGGCUGGUUCACGGCCUCAGGCUUCCUGCGUGAUUUCACUUCAUGGAUCGUGGCAUUUACCCCCUGGUGCAGAGCCUUCCUGCCAUAAUGUGAGAAUGUGCAGGGCUUUCUCCUCGGCAAGGAAAGAACUGAACUUCUCAUUAACUCGAAAUUUUUAUGAUCGUCAAAUUAUUCAGGUCUGGUCUUUUGAGAAAGCUAUGAGAGCCAGGAGGACAGCAGCAGAUGAUGACUUUUCUAUAAUAAAUGGUGCUUUUUUUGUACAAGUUUUUAAACAUUGUUUUUUCAGGGAACAGGGAGGACACUGAUAAAACCCAAAACAUUUGGUCGGUAGUUUCUCUACAUGUGCUUCUCCCGGACUCCAGCGCCCCCGCCACUGUCGCUGUCCUUUUCUUUCUAUCCUGCGCUGAAGGAGUUCAACAUACAUUGGGCUGUGAUUCAGACUUUCUUAAAGUACUUUAAACUCUCAAAAGCCCAGGCAGAGAUUGUUAUCACUUUCUGUCUUAGCCAAGCUCCUCAUCAUCUUUGGCGACUAUAUUUCAUUCUCUCUGUUUUCUCUGAGCCAGGAGGGCACAGCCUCACCCUUUGAGCAUCCAUAAAGCCCACAGCAAAGCAAAUGAUCUAGACCCAGAUAACAACACGGCUGGAGCGAAGCAUCCCAGCCUGGCACGAUGACAAUAAAUGGCAGCUAAAUUGGGGCCAAAAAAUACCUAGAGAUGCUGAAACAAAGGUGCAGUAAGAGAGAGUAAGACUUUUAAUCUUUCAGAAUAAAAAAUUAAAUAUUACUUCUACCACACACAUUUGGAAUGUGUUUGAAAAAGCAAUUGAUGCAUGUUUGUUUACAGAUUCGUUGAUCUGUAUCAUCCUGUUAUAUUUAGUUUGGGCUCUAUUCCGUCACAACAUUGUUAGAAGAGCAGUGGCUUAAUCUGAAGAGUGAGAACGAAGUGUUUUUCAAACAAGAAAUGGUGGGAGUUCCCGUCAUCGCUCAGCGGAAGCAAAUCCAACUGGUAUCCAUGAGGAUGUGGGUUCGAUUCCUGACCUCGCUUAGUGGGCCAGGAAUCCAGCAUUAUGAGCUGUGGUGUAGGUCACAGACACAGCUCGGAUCCCGAGUUGCUGUGACUGUGGUGUAGUCCGACAGCUGUAGCUCCAAAUUAACCCCUAGCCUGGGAACUUCCAUAUGGGUGAAGCCCUAAAAUGACAAAAAGAAAAAAAAAAAGGAAAUGGGAGAGGUGAAGAGGAGAUGUGGAAAGAGUGGGCUGGUCCACAUGCUGGUCUCACCCAUUGUCAGGGGCCUGGCACAGACUCUGUGCUUCCUGGGUGCUGAGAGGCUGGAAUGCAGCCAUGAGUGCAGCAGACUUCUCUUUCAUAGCCUUUCCUGACAACUCAACACUUCUGGAAAUAGUUGAAGUCUAAGGGCUUAUCAAACUCCAGACCCCAAACAAUUCAUUCAGCAAGAAAUUUCCCCAUACAGGUUUCAGUAGCACUACUCAGUCAUAUUUUUAGUAUAUAUUUCAGCUUUAUGCCCAGUGGAUAAUCAAUUGCCUCUACAGGAUAUAUUGUAAGUGUGCAGAUAAGGGAGAAAGUUUAUUUUGCCCAAUGGAACAUAAAAGUUUCAACUGUGUGGAGUUCCCAUCGUGGCACAAUGGUUAGCAGAUCUGACUAGGAACCAUGAGGUUGUGGGUUCGAUCCCUGGCCUUGCUUAGUGGGUUAAGGAUCCAUUGUUGCUGUGAUCUGUGGUGUAGGUUGCAGAUGCUGCUCGGAUCCUGCAUUGCUGUGGCUCUGGCGUAGGCUGGCGGCUACAGCUCCGAUUAGACCCCCUAGCCUGGGAACCUCCAUAUGCCG